AGCGAACGCUGGCGGCAGGCUUAACACAUGCAAGUCGAACGGGCGUAGCAAUACGUCAGUGGCAGACGGGUGAGUAACGCGUGGGAACGUACCUUUUGGUUCGGAACAACCCAGGGAAACUUGGGCUAAUACCGGGUAAGCCCUUACGGGGAAAGAUUUAUCGCCGAAAGAUCGGCCCGCGUCUGAUUAGCUAGUUGGUGUGGUAACGGCGCACCAAGGCGACGAUCAGUAGCUGGUCUGAGAGGAUGAUCAGCCACAUUGGGACUGAGACACGGCCCAAACUCCUACGGGAGGCAGCAGUGGGGAAUAUUGGACAAUGGGCGCAAGCCUGAUCCAGCCAUGCCGCGUGAGUGAUGAAGGCCCUAGGGUUGUAAAGCUCUUUUGUGCGGGAAGAUAAUGACGGUACCGCAAGAAUAAGCCCCGGCUAACUUCGUGCCAGCAGCCGCCGUAAC
rnacentral:rRNA from 1 species